ensembl:snoRNA
ACUGCCCCUAGAGGUUUAUAGGUGUGGCUGCUGUGCCACCAGUGUGUCAGUAGGUGGCUGAGAGGAGAGAGGCUACCUCUCUGCCUGGUGUUCUGACCUGUAAACAUCGGAAUGAUUAGUAGCUGUCUUAAU